rnacentral:rRNA from 1 species
GUCGAGCGAACGGACGAGAAGCUUGCUUCUCUGAUGUUAGCGGCGGACGGGUGAGUAACACGUGGAUAACCUACCUAUAAGACUGGGAUAACUUCGGGAAACCGGAGCUAAUACCGGAUAAUAUUUUGAACCGCAUGGUUCAAAAGUGAAAGACGGUCUUGCUGUCACUUAUAGAUGGAUCCGCGCUGCAUUAGCUAGUUGGUAAGGUAACGGCUUACCAAGGCAACGAUGCAUAGCCGACCUGAGAGGGUGAUCGGCCACACUGGAACUGAGACACGGUCCAGACUCCUACGGGAGGCAGCAGUAGGGAAUCUUCCGCAAUGGGCGAAAGCCUGACGGAGCAACGCCGCGUGAGUGAUGAAGGUCUUCGGAUCGUAAAACUCUGUUAUUAGGGAAGAACAUAUGUGUAAGUAACUGUGCACAUCUUGACGGUACCUAAUCAGAAAGCCACGGCUAACUACGUGCCAGCAGCCGCGGUAAUACGUAGGUGGCAAGCGUUAUCCGGAAUUAUUGGGCGUAAAGCGCGCGUAGGCGGUUUUUUAAGUCUGAUGUGAAAGCCCACGGCUCAACCGUGGAGGGUCAUUGGAAACUGGAAAACUUGAGUGCAGAAGAGGAAAGUGGAAUUCCAUGUGUAGCGGUGAAAUGCGCAGAGAUAUGGAGGAACACCAGUGGCGAAGGCGACUUUCUGGUCUGUAACUGACGCUGAUGUGCGAAAGCGUGGGGAUCAAACAGGAUUAGAUACCCUGGUAGUCCACGCCGUAAACGAUGAGUGCUAAGUGUUAGGGGGUUUCCGCCCCUUAGUGCUGCAGCUAACGCAUUAAGCACUCCGCCUGGGGAGUACGACCGCAAGGUUGAAACUCAAAGGAAUUGACGGGGACCCGCACAAGCGGUGGAGCAUGUGGUUUAAUUCGAAGCAACGCGAAGAACCUUACCAAAUCUUGACAUCCUUUGACAACUCUAGAGAUAGAGCCUUCCCCUUCGGGGGACAAAGUGACAGGUGGUGCAUGGUUGUCGUCAGCUCGUGUCGUGAGAUGUUGGGUUAAGUCCCGCAACGAGCGCAACCCUUAAGCUUAGUUGCCAUCAUUAAGUUGGGCACUCUAAGUUGACUGCCGGUGACAAACCGGAGGAAGGUGGGGAUGACGUCAAAUCAUCAUGCCCCUUAUGAUUUGGGCUACACACGUGCUACAAUGGACAAUACAAAGGGCAGCGAAACCGCGAGGUCAAGCAAAUCCCAUAAAGUUGUUCUCAGUUCGGAUUGUAGUCUGCAACUCGACUACAUGAAGCUGGAAUCGCUAGUAAUCGUAGAUCAGCAUGCUACGGUGAAUACGUUCCCGGGUCUUGUACACACCGCCCGUCACACCACGAGAGUUUGUAACACCCGAAGCCGGUGG